UACGGAAGGCAGCAGUGGGGAAUAUUGCACAAUGGGCGAAAGCCUGAUGCAGCUAUGCCGCGUGUAUGAAGAAGGCCUUAGGGUUGUAAAGUACUUUCAUCGGGGAGGAAAAACAAAACUAAUAAUUUUAUUUCUUGACGUUACCCGAAAAAGAAGCACCGGCUAACUCCGUGCCAGCAGCCGCGGUAAUACGGAGGGUGCUAGCGUUAAUCAGGAUUACUGGGCGUAAAGAGCACGUAGGUGGUUUUUUUAAAGUCAGAUGUGAAUCCCUGGGCUUAACCUGGAACUGCAUUUUGAAACUGAAAUACUAGAGUAUCGUAGAGGGAGGUAGAAUUCUAGGUGUAGCGGUGAAAUGCGUAGAUAUCUGGAGGAAUACCUGUGGCGAAAGCGGCCUCCUAAACGAAUACUGACACUGAGGUGCGAAAGCGUGGGGAGCAAACAGGGAUUAGAUACC
rnacentral:rRNA from 1 species